UAGGAAUUGCCUGGGAAGCUUGUUAAAAAUUCAGAUUCCUGGAGCCACUGUUAGAGAUGCUGAUUUAGCAGACUUGGGAUGGGGCUUGGGAAUCCUCAUUUUUCUCAAGCACCCUACCUGCUCAUUUCAUUGAUUUUGAUGCAAAUGGUUAGGGAUUUGCCUCCCACUUGAGAAAUACCAUAUGGGAUUCCAAUCAGAAACCAGGAGUAGAGAGGCCAAGGUAUGAGAAAACCUGGUGAACUCAGGCAAGGACACAGAGAAAGAGGACUACUUAUAGGAAUACAAGUUAAUCCAAGCUUUACA
rnacentral:lncRNA from 1 species